rnacentral:lncRNA from 1 species
CACAAUAAUUGAACUUUAUUUUAAUUCGGCACAGAGCGAACAUUGUAUUUUUUAAAUGUAUUCCAACAAUUUUAUUGAAAACGGCGUCUUCAGCUCGGCUGAGCCAGUAGUACUAGCUUGCAAAAUUGCUGUUUGUUUUAAAACAUAAAACCAAAAUAAAAACGCGUGCCAAAUUAAAAUACAAAGUAGCGCGCUGAUGUUAAAGAGCUACUUAGAUGCAAUUGAGGGGUGUUUCCGCCGAAAUCUGGGAAAUCGACAUGCAAGCACGACAGAGCAGGAAAAACUGUAUGACUGGGGUGGUGUGGACCCAGCUGGGUCCCACAAAUAUCUCUCACCGGGAAGAUUACUUUUGUGCCUGGCCUGGUCCACAGAUUCAUGCAGAGCACAUUACACUUGAAGAUCUCCUCUCUUGUGGAAACAUCCUGUACUUUGGGCCCCUUGGACAGAGGAAAGUGUCAGGAUUGCUGGCUGGUGGAAGAGUACAAAAUACAGCAGUGCUGGCAGUCACAGGCCUUUACCCUGAGUCCCUGAGCUGGGAGCAUCAUGAGGACACCUGGACAGUCAACACAUUCUACAGCUUCACCUGUAUAAGAGGUCACUCUUAACAGCAGUUUCUUACAUCAUUAAUAGGGAGUCGUGAUGCAGGGUUUUCUCUUUCAGUGGAUUAAUAUUGCUCACUCCCAGUUUUUGAACAAAUGUUGAUAUAAAAAGAUUGAAUUGUUAGGAAAACAAUACAGGGAUCAUUGUAUCACUUGAUACACGUCUAAUUAAAAUUAAUAUUAAUAAACAACCCUGGCGGGCAGAGACAUAAAUGAUGUUUCGCCGAUUCUCCAUGUUCAGUAACAGCUCUGCACCUGGAGCAACAACUGUUGAACCUCUGUCUCUUGUAUUUAAAAUAAUCUGUUCAUACAGUAGUUCAAUGUUUCAUGUUUUGUUUUUGUAAAAAAAGAGAAAAUGUAAACUGGCUUAGUAUGUAAACGCAGAAUGGUCUUCUUCUUUGUCUUUUUCUGAGUAAAGUCCUGUUUCUUCCUAGUUGUGUCUAUGCUGUAGGUACUGUACCGAUCUCUUGGAGAACUGGAUGGAGAUCAAUGAUUUACAUAUGUUAAAUAUAUGCCCUAAAGUAGUGAAGAAUAGAUGUUGCUUUGGAGAAAAGCUUUUGAGUUGGAUUCUGCAUCAUACACAUUAAAAGUUAA